GCUGUUUGAAAUGAUCCUUGUGGUAUUUUGACCAAAGUAUGUUACAGACAUUUCAUUAAGACCCCAAGGAACCAUAUCAACUUGUGGUAAAAUGGGCAUGCUAUGUCCCCUUUAAGUAUUGUCAUGGACAUCAGCACUCAUUGGAUCAGCCGCUGCAGUUUUCCUCGCUGUGACUCUCCUCUCCGUGUUCCUACUGAUCAGAAGAAAGAGAAACUCUCAGCAAUCUGCUGAUCCUGGGGACAGACUUGACCACAGUGAGCAGUGUCUACCCAUUCAGUCUGAGGAAAACUGUGACCUUCACUAUGCUAGUGUCCACUUCAUGAAGAGACAGACGGAUCCUGUCCUCCAACAUCGGAUCAACUGAACCCAGCAAA